GAUGAACGCUAGCUACAGGCUUAACACAUGCAAGUCGAGGGGAAACGACAUCGAAAGCUUGCUUUUGAUGGGCGUCGACCGGCGCACGGGUGAGUAACGCGUAUCCAACCUGCCCAUCACUUGGGGAUAACCUUGCGAAAGUAAGACUAAUACCCAAUGACGUCUCUAGAAGACAUCUGAAAGAGAUUAAAGAUUUAUCGGGGAUGGAUGGGGAUGCGUCUGAUUAGCUUGUUGGCGGGGUAACGGCCCACCAAGGCUACGAUCAGUAGGGGUUCGGGGAGGAAGGUCCCCCACAUGGGAACUGAGACACGGUCCAAACUCCUACGGGAGGCAGCAGUGAGGAAUAUUGGUCAAUGGACGAGAGUCUGAACCAGCCAAGUAGCGUGCAGGAAGACGGCCCUAUGGGUUGUAAACUGCUUUUAUAAGGGAAUAAAGUGAGUCUCGUGAGACUUUUUGCAUGUACCUUAUGAAUAAGGACCGGCUAAUUCCGUGCCAGCCGCCGCAGUAA
rnacentral:rRNA from 1 species